UACGGAGGGUGCAAGCGUUGUCCGGAAUUACUGGGCGUAAAGCGUGCGCAGGCGGCUUUGCAAGACAGAUGUGAAAUCCCCGGGCUUAACCUGGGAACUGCAUUUGUGACUGCAUGGCUGGAGUGCGGCAGAGGGGGAUGGAAUUCCGCGUGUAGCAGUGAAAUGCGUAGAUAUGCGGAGGAACACCGAUGGCGAAGGCAAUCCCCUGGGCCUGCACUGACGCUCAUGCACGAAAGCGUGGGGAGCAAACAGG
rnacentral:rRNA from 1 species